AUCCCUUCUCGAACUCAGAAGUGAAAACGUUCAGCGCCGAUGGUAGUGUGGGGUCUCCCCAUGUGAGAGUAGGUCAUCGCCAGGC
rnacentral:rRNA from 1 species